GUGGCCUGGAGGAAGCGGGAGGAGGCGCGGGCAGCCGCCAGGGCGAGGCGACCCGGUGCGGGGGGACUCCCAUGGAGCGCGGACUCCUAAGGAAGUCGCUGGGAAUCCCACCGGCUGUACCGCAGGGCGUUAGUACCUAGAUGGCUUCGGUGCCCCCAAGCGAUGGGCUCAAGCUACAGGGCGGGCUUUGCACCUGGCCUUCUCAGCUCUGAGGCAGGCAGUGGGCAGCUUCGCCUCCACCCUCCGUCCAGCGCCCUUCCCAUGGGGCCAUCCGCCUCUCCCUAAGGCACUAAAAACCAGUGGAGGAGUCAGGCCAUGUUGGCAAAAAGGGCUCGGGCAGCAGCCCCAGACCUAUAGUCCUAAAUAUCCAUGUACCCAGCCCUGGGGUCGCGAGCCAUCUCAGGGACGACCCGAUUCCAGCGGAUGGAGAAGUUCCCUGAAAACACCUGCCUGGGAGGAGAGACGAGGGAACGAGAUUGGGCAAGUGGCAUCCGCCCAGCGGGCUUCUCAAAGGUUUUUAAAGCAGAAUGGGACGUAAUAGGAAGAUGUGUCUAGCAGAGAGUAAAAUAAAGGGGCAUUUAGAGGUGUGGGCACCUGGAUGAAAACAAAGGCUCCAAAGGGAUGAUGGUGAGGGUUACAGCCCACCACAGUAGACAGAGACACCAAGGAAGGAAUGCAGUCAGUGGCCCUGCGUAGACAGUCUCAGGAGAGAGCACACCAGCUCACCCCAGGACUCAUCCAAGGCUGGGGAUGGAUGUCGAUGCAGCAACUCUGGAAGGCAGAAGACAGUGCUUUACCAUGGAACUGAAACCAUGAAAAGUGAAACUGCAAAUGGGAGAGACUGCUGUAUAGUCACUGAAAAAUUAAUGGAUGAGCUCAACAGCAAAUUAGACACAACUGAAACCUUGGACCCAUGUGUGGAAGAUGACAGCAUCACCAACUGGAGGGUGCCUGGAUCCCUGAGUCACCACUUGAAGCAAAAAGGUCAAGAGUAGCCACCUGACCCAUAUCAGGCUAUGAAAUGAGCAGCAUCUGGUUGCUACAGCAACCCCAGCUCUGCAGGGUGUCCCGAUUACCAGCAGGCUCCCUGCACCUGCCUCAGGCUGAGAGCAGGCGGCUGCCGCCAAGGGGAACACCAAGGAAAUGCCCAUGUUCUGAUUCCAAGGUAAUGGCUCAGACCCAAGGGGAUUUUAUCUGUUCAAUGUGCAACCUGAUGAAGUUUUGUCCCAUGUUAAUAAUUUCAUUAAAAAUAUGGCCUUACAUCC
ensembl:lncRNA LINC01664 long intergenic non-protein coding RNA 1664